CCUACGGGUGGCAGCAGUGGGGAAUCUUGGACAAUGGGGGCAACCCUGAUCCAGCCAUGCCGCGUGAGUGAUGAAGGCCUUCGGGUUGUAAAGCUCUUUCGCCCGCGACGAUGAUGACGGUAGCGGGAGAAGAAGCCCCGGCUAACUCCGUGCCAGCAGCCGCGGUAAUACGGAGGGGGCAAGCGUUGUUCGGAAUUACUGGGCGUAAAGGGCGCGUAGGCGGCCGGUUGCGUCCGAUGUGAAAGCCCUGGGCUCAACCCGGGAGGUGCAUUGGACACGGGCCGGCUGGAAGUCGGAAGAGGAGGGUGGAAUUCCCAGUGUAGAGGUGAAAUUCGUAGAUAUUGGGAAGAACACCGAUGGCGAAGGCAGCCCUCUGGUCCGACCUUGACGCUGAGGCGCGACAGCGUGGGGAGCAAACAGGAUUAGAUACCCCUGUAGUC
rnacentral:rRNA from 1 species